AGGAAUGAACAAGGAGCUGAUGUAAGCAGCAUGCUCAUGAUCACGAACAUGUUCCCUGGAGUGGAGGAAGGUAGGAAUGGAAAGUUUUCCUGAAUGUGUGUUCAUCCCUCUAUAACCAUCCAUACCUGGAGCCAGGGCACUGAAGGGAGCUGUGCUGAAUCACCCAGCUGGAACCUCCUUUUCUUUCGGCAUUUCAAAACCUAAGUGGACUUCCUAAAGGAGGCAUGUCUGGUCUCACACCGUGCUCCAGCAGCAGUGGCCAGAGAGCUCUGUUCUACAAGGCAAAGCAUGUGUGCUCGCCACAUUGUCUUUCACGGUCUUCUUGUGGAAUCAGUGAGAAAUGUAUACUUUUGGUUCCAGAAGAGAACAUGAUCACAACAUCGGGAUUUCCCAUAGGACGGAAAUUCUGAUCCAUCCAUAUAAUCCCAUGAGGGACUCUUGUUCAUGACUAGGAAAUGUGGACUUGUUCCAAGUGCAGUACAGGCUCCAAAAGUCCCAAACCACCAGAAGCUCCCAGAGCCCCAAGAGCCCACAAUCAAAGUAAAAAUCAGAGGGCAACAGAUGGAUGGAGACAGAUGGAGAACCACAAAGAAACCAGGAGACACAACAGGUCAGCCUAAUAACAACCAUCUCAGUGGUUUCCUCUUCAGCUUGCACUCAGAUCUUGCAGACCUGUCUUCCUUAUGCUGUCUUUAACACUUUCAUGUCUUGACACAACCAGAGAAACUCAUAUUUGACCAUCUUAAAAGGACCUUAUGUCUUGGUUGUACAACAGUCCUAGAUAGGAAUUUAAUUCACAUUUGCCUUCAUCCUGUGAGCUCAGAGGCUGGUAAGUAAGAGAUACCAAUCGUAUGUAAAUGCCCUC